GGGGGUGAUCCGGUUUCGACGGGAUGUGUGGAGACCAGAUUGCGCGUCGAGGAUUCUCGUUGGCCUCGUUAAAAAACGGGAAAAAAGAGUAAUUGCGAAAGCUGAUUACCGCAUGGCGGCCUAAUUAACGGCCUCCGGCUGAACCGUUGACGCCUGCUAGGCGGGGAAGCCUCAUUCAGCAGGACUUGCCCUUAGGCGCUCCGUUCGCGCGUUUGGGCCACGUAUAACCGAGCGGUUGCGUCCGGAUAAGCCCGUUCGUCGGCGUACCGGAUGCGAGAUCAAAGGCGGAAUACACGCGUAGAUGUUUGGCCAAAGCCGUUUCGGACGGGGGUUCGACUCCCCCCACCUCCACCA
rnacentral:tmRNA from 1 species